UAUUGAUUAGUUGCUAAGACUGGAUAGGAAAUAAAAAGGCAUCUUUUUAUUUUUAAAAGACCUUUUUCGGAAGGUAUGCUUAAAGAGGGGCUUGCGUCACAUUAGUUAGUUGGCAGGGUAAAGGCCUACCAAGACUAUGAUGUGUAGCUGGACUGAGAGGUUGAACAGCCACAUUGGGACUGAGACACGGCCCAAACUCCUACGGGAGGCAGCAGUAGGGAAUUUUCGGCAAUGGAGGAAACUCUGACCGAGCAACGCCGCGUGAACGAUGAAGUAUUUCGGUAUGUAAAGUUCUUUUAUUGAAGAAGAAAAAAUAGUGGAAAAACUAUCUUGACGAUAUUCAAUGAAUAAGCCCCGGCAAACUAUGUGCCAGCAGCCGCGGUAAUACAUAGGGGGCGAGCGUUAUCCGGAAUUAUUGGGCGUAAAGGGUGCGUAGGCGGUUUAAUAAGUCUAUAGUUUAAUUUCAGUGCUUAACACUGUCCUGCUAUAGAAACUAUUAGACUAGAGUGAGAUAGAGGCAAGUGGAAUUCCAUGUGUAGCGGUAAAAUGCGUAAAUAUAUGGAGGAACACCAGAGGCGUAGGCGGCUUGCUGGGUCUUUACUGACGCUGAGGCACGAAAGCGUGGGGAGCAAACAGGAUUAGAUACCCUGGUAGUCCACGCCGUAAACGAUGAGUACUAAGUGUCGGGAUUACUCGGUACUGAAGUUAACACAUUAAGUACUCCGCCUGAGUAGUACGUACGCAAGUAUGAAACUUAAAGGAAUUGACGGGACUCCGCACAAGCGGUGGAUCAUGUUGUUUAAUUUGAAGAUACACGAAAAACCUUACCAGGUCUUGACAUACUCUGCAAAGCUAUAGCAAUAUAGUGGAGGUUAUCAGAGAUACAGGUGGUGCAUGGUUGUCGUCAGCUCGUGUCGUGAGAUGUUAGGUUAAGUCCUAAAACGAGCGCAACCCUUGUCAUUAGUUGCCAGCAUGUCAUGAUGGGCACUUUAAUGAGACUGCCAAUGAAAAAUUGGAGGAAGGUGAGGAUCACGUCAAAUCAUCAUGCCCCUUAUGAUCUGGGCUACAAACGUGAUACAAUGGCUGUUACAAAGAGUAGCUGAAACGCAAGUUUAUAGCCAAUCUCAUAAAAGCAGUCUCAGUUCGGAUUGAAGUCUGCAACUCGACUUCAUGAAGUUGGAAUCGCUAGUAAUCGCGAAUCAGCAUGUCGCGGUGAAUACGUUCUCGGGGUUUGUACACACCGCCCGUCAAACCACGAAAGUUGGUAAUACUCAAAAACGGUAGCCUAACUUCUUCGGAAGAGGGAACCGUCUAAGGUAGGAUCGAUGAUUGGGGUUAAGUCGUAACAAGACCCCCAGGA
rnacentral:rRNA from 2 species